rnacentral:rRNA from 1 species
AUGGCGACCGGCGCACGGGUGAGUAACACGUAUCCAACCUGCCGAUGACUCGGGGAUAGCCUUUCGAAAGAAAGAUUAAUACCCGAUGACAUAGUUCUUCCGCAUGGUAGAACUAUUAAAGAAUUUCGGUCAUCGAUGGGGAUGCGUUCCAUUAGCUUGUUGGCGGGGUAACGGCCCACCAAGGCAUCGAUGGAUGGGGGUUCUGAGAGGAAGGUCCCCCACAUUGGAACUGAGACACGGUCCAAACUCCUACGGGAGGCAGCAG